rnacentral:rRNA from 1 species
UCAAGCACAAUAAGGGCGUUUGGCGGAUGCCUUGGCACUGAGAGGCGAUGAAGGACGUGGCAGGCUGCGAUAAGCUUCGGGGAGUUGCCAGCACACUUUGAUCCGAAGAUUUCCGAAUGGGGAAACCCCAUCCAUCAGGAUGAUCGUCGACUGAAUCCAUAGGUCGACGAGGCGAACCCGGGGAACUGAAACAUCUCAGUACCCGGAGGAAAGGACAUCAACAGAGACUCCGCUAGUAGUGGCGAGCGAACGCGGACCAGGCCAGUGAUACGAUCGUAAGAACCGGAACACUCUGGAAAGGGUGGCCAAAGCGGGUGAUAGCCCCGUACGGGUAGAAAGCGGUUGUAUCCUCGAGUAGGGCGGGACACGUGUAAUCCUGUCUGAACAUGGGGGGAUCACCCUCCAAGCCUAAGUACUCCUCAGUGACCGAUAGUGAACAAGUACCGUGAGGGAAAGGUGAAAAGCACCCCGAUAAGGGGAGUGAAAAAGACCUGAAACCGAACGCCUACAAACAGUCGGAGGCCGCAAGGCUGACGGCGUACCUUUUGUAUAAUGGGUCAGCGACUUACUCUGUGCAGCAAGCUUAAGCCGAUAGGUGUAGGCGUAGCGAAAGCGAGUCUGAAUAGGGCGUCUAGUUGCACGGAGUAGACCCGAAACCGGGUGAUCUAGUCAUGGGCAGGUUGAAGGCGUGGUAACGCGCGCUGGAGGACCGAACCGGUUACCGUUGCAAAGGUAUCGGAUGACCUGUGAUUAGGGGUGAAAGGCCAACCAAACUCGGAAAUAGCUGGUUCUCCGCGAAAACUAUUUAGGUAGUGCGUCGUGUGAUUACCGUCGGGGGUAGAGCACUGGAUGGGCUAGGGGGAUCCAAAGUCUUACCAAACCUAACCAAACUCCGAAUACCGACGAGUACAGCGCGGCAGACAGACGGCGGGUGCUAAGGUCCGUCGUCGAGAGGGAAACAGCCCAGACCACCAGCUAAGGUCCCUAAGUCAUGGCUAAGUGGGAAAGGAUGUGGGAAGGCCAAAACAGCCAGGAGGUUGGCUUAGAAGCAGCCAUCCUUUAAAGAAAGCGUAAUAGCUCACUGGUCUAGAUAAGCCAGCCUGCGCCGAAGAUGUACCGGGGCUCAAGCCAUGCACCGAAGCUGUGGACUCGAAAGAGUGGUAGCGGAGCGUUCCGUAAGCCUGUGAAGGGAGACCCGUGAGGGCUCCUGGAGGUAUCGGAAGUGAGAAUGCUGACAUGAGUAGCGAUAAGAAGCGUGAGAGACGCUUCCGCCGUAAGUCCAAGGGUUCCUGCGCAAGGUCAAUCCGCGCAGGGUUAGCCGGCCCCUAAGGCGAGGGCGACAGCCGUAGCCGAUGGGAACCACGUGAAUAUUCGUGGGCCUGCUGGAAGUGACGGAUCCGAAAAGUGGCUCUAGCUCGUUGGCGAAUGCUAGGGCGGCCCAAGGGUUCCAGGAAAUAGCUCCAGCAUAUAGACCGUACCCUAAACCGACACAGGUGGACUGGUAGAGUAUACCAAGGCGCUUGAGGGAACGGUGUUGAAGGAACUAGGCAAUUUACCCCCGUAACUUCGGGAUAAGGGGGCCUCUGGCGGUCUCGCCAGAGGGGCACAGACUAGGGGGUGGCGACUGUUUAACAAAAACACAGGGCUCUGCUAAGCCGUGAGGCGAAGUAUAGGGUCUGACGCCUGCCCGGUGCCGGAAGGUUAAGAGGAGAGGUUCACGCCUUGAAUCGAAGCCCCGGUAAACGGCGGCCGUAACUAUAACGGUCCUAAGGUAGCGAAAUUCCUUGUCGGGUAAGUUCCGACCUGCACGAAUG